rnacentral:rRNA from 1 species
UACGGAGGGUGCGAGCGUUGCUCGGAAUUAUUGGGCGUAAAGCGUACGCAGGCGGCUCGGUAAGUCGAGUGUGAAAUCCCGAGGCUCAACCCGGGAACUGCGUCCGAUACUGGCAGGCUUGAAUUCGGGAGAGGGAUGUGGAAUUCCAGGUGUAGCGGUGAAAUGCGUAGAUAUCUGGAGGAACACCGGUGGCGAAGGCGGCAUCCUGGACCGGCAUUGACGCUGAGGCGCGAAAGCCAGGGGAGCAAACGGG